GGGCAAUGUCAUUAAUUUGGAGGACUACCUAUACCUGUUGUCCUGUCUCAGUUCUUAACUUGCCAAGUAGAAAUGUUCAAGCAAACCAAGACCAUCCAAUCCAUUAUCCGUAGUAAGCAGCCAUUUUUCAUUGCAUAGAUAUUUGUUGUUUUGGAGCUCGACAACUAGUCUCCAGAGCUUUAUUCUUCUAAUUUUCUCUCUUCUGUUUAAGAAUUCUCAAGUUUCUUGAAAGAUCUUAGAAAUGAAUCCUCAAAACCAUGAUCAAGCUUCUUAUGUUGCUCCAUCUCCUGUAAAUUUCUCUAUGAAAGAUGGGGUUGAAGAGCCACAAAAUCCAUCCUCCCAUCCUCCACCAAGUAUGAAGCCUGGUAAGAGCAGUAGCGGCUGUUGGAGAGGCUGUUUUGUGGGAUGCUUAGAUGGUUGCUUUUUGUCAGCGGCACACAUCAACUGUGCGGCUUGUUUCUAAGCCCAGCAGGAAGAAAAAAUCGCAUGCAGUUUUAAGGAUUGUUUUUUGGGCUUCUGCAAGUCAUUCUGUUCAGGAUUGUUGAAUGAGUAUAGGAUUUACAUUUUUGCUAAUUUGACAUGUAUGUGGCUUAAUAAAUAUAAAGUAAUGCAAGUCUUUUGUUAUAAUUCUCUCUUAUAAUUUUCAAUUUAGGUAUUAUUGUUUUCCUUCUUUGUUCAACUCUGUCUAUAUACUAAAAUAGCAACCCUUGUAUAUAUAUAUAUAUUUAUAGAGAGAAAUAGUCACGAAUCUGAAUAAGAGUAGACUUGUACUAAAUAAAAAAAAAUAUAAAAAUAUUAAUGAUAAUUCUUUUUUUUUUAAAACAAAGCAUAUGCAAUAGAUAAGCAUGUAGACCGACCAAUUUAUAAAAAUAUAAAAUUUCAUUUUAUUUCAUUUUUAUAAUUUUAAAAAAAAUGAUGUAAUUACUUGUUCUAAUAUGUUACACUAUGAGCUUUUUUUUUAUAUUUUUUUUAUUUUUAAGAUACACUAUAAGCUAAUUAGAUAAGCUCUUAUUUAUAUUAUUAUCAUAUUAUUAUAACAUUUUGAAUUUUAAAGUAUGAAACAAAGAAAUUCUAGCAUUUGAAUUCCUUACGUUAUGAAUCAUCUAGAACCAAAUUUGAAGGGAGCUUCUGUGUAGUUUCGAAGAUCACAGCGUUGAAUCUAAUGAAACAAAGACCAUUUCUUCCAACCUUCCUCUCUUAUGUUAUGCAUGAGAAGUGAAAACAGCCGCCAUUUCUGAACAUUGUUUUCAGACCUUAUCUUCCAGUUUUAACCACUCCAUUCUCUCUGUAUAUAAUACAUUCUUGCCAUAUAAUUUUGCUUAAUUAACUUCGAAAUGGAUAACCGUAACUAUCAUCAACAAGCUCCAGUAGCUGUAUAUCCUCCGCCUCCAGCUCCAUAUCCACCUCCACCAAGUGAAGUUUAUCCUCCUCCUCCUCCACCACAAGCAGCGGUUCGAGGUCCUUAUGUUGCUCCGCCUCCAGUUGGUUACCCUAUGAAAAAUGGUCCUCAAUAUCCCCAACAGCCUCCAUUUCCCCCAUCAAAAACUACGCAUAGAGGUGGAUUUUGCAGAGGAUGUUGUGCUGGUUUAUGUUGCUGCUGCCUUCUGGAUGCUUGCUUUUAGCUGAGGACUGAACGGAUUCUUCUUUGUAAUAUUUAUAUAGCCCAUUGUUGUGGGAAAUUCUCAUUUUUCUUAUUAUGUAAAAUUUAUUUGAUUCAUUUGUUCUGUACACAGAAAAUAUUUUAUGGCAUGUACUUCCAAAAUAUUUG